rnacentral:rRNA from 1 species
UACGUAGGCAGCGAGCGUUGUUCGGAAUUACUGGGCGUAAAGAGUGUGUAGGCGGUGCUCUAAGUUCGGUGUGAAAUCUCCUGCUUAACUGGGAGGGUGCGCCGGAAACUGGAAUGCUCGAGCGUGGGAGAGGAAAGCGGAAUUCCUGGUGUAGCGGUGAAAUGCGUAGAUAUCAGGAGGAACACCGAUGGCGAAGGCAGGUCUCUGGGCCGAUACUGACGCUGAGGAGCGAAAGCGUGGGGAGCGAACAGG